UACGGAGGGGGCUAGCGUUGUUCGGAAUUACUGGGCGUAAAGCGCACGUAGGCGGCUUUGCAAGUUAGAGGUGAAAGCCCGGGGCUCAACUCCGGAAUUGCCUUUAAAACUGCAUCGCUAGAAUUGUGGAGAGGUAAGUGGAAUUCCGAGUGUAGAGGUGAAAUUCGUAGAUAUUCGGGAGAACACCAGUGGCGAAGGCGACUUACUGGACACAUAUUGACGCUGAGGUGCGAAAGCGUGGGGAGCAAACAGG
rnacentral:rRNA from 1 species